rnacentral:misc_RNA from 1 species
UCCGGUUUGUCACCGGCAGUCUGAAGUGAGUCCCCAACUUAAUGCUGGCAACACUUCACGGGGGUUGCGCUCGUUGCGGGACUUAACCCGACAUCUCACGACACGAGCUGACGACAACCAUGCACCACCUGUGAACCGGCCCCAAAGGGGAAACCACAUUUCUGCGGCGAUCCGGUCCAUGUCAAGCCUUGGUAAGGUUCUUCGCGUUGCAUCGAAUUAAUCCGCAUGCUCCGCCGCUUGUGCGGGCCCCCGUCAAUUCCUUUGAGUUUUAGCCUUGCGGCCGUACUCCCCAGGCGGGGCACUUAAUGCGUUAGCUACGGCACGGACGACGUGGAAUGCCGCCCACACCUAGUGCCCACCGUUUACGGCGUGGACUAC